rnacentral:piRNA from 1 species
UGCUCCUUUCAACUCUAUUAG